UGAGGAAUAUUGGUCAAUGGACGCAAGUCUGAACCAGCCAAGUAGCGUGCAGGAUGACGGCCCUAUGGGUUGUAAACUGCUUUUAUAUGGGGAUAAAGUGGGGAACGUGUUCCCUUUUGCAGGUACCAUUCGAAUAAGGACCGGCUAAUUCCGUGCCAGCAGCCGCGGUAAUACGGAAGGUCCAGGCGUUAUCCGGAAUUAUUGGGCUUAAAGGGCAUCUAGGCGGUAAGACAAGUUGAAGGUGAAAACCUGUGGCUCAACCAUAGGCUUGCCUACAAAACUGUUGAACUAGAGUACUGGAAAGGUGGGUGGAACUACACGAGUAGAGGUGAAAUUCGUAGAUAUGUGUAGGAAUGCCGAUGAUGAAGAUAACUCACUGGACAGAAACUGACGCUGAAGUGCGAAAGCUAGGGGAGCAAACAGG
rnacentral:rRNA from 1 species